rnacentral:misc_RNA from 1 species
GUGAAUCAUCAAAUCUUUGAACGCAAAUUGCACUCUCCUCGGAGAGUAUGCCUGUUUGAGGGUCAGCCUAUAAAAAAUCGACAUCGUUGCUGUUUCGCGGUGGCGCUCUUCGGAAAUUGGGUCAUUUUAAAUCUUUGGGUUUUAAGCGACUUAAAAUUUUCUUUUCGGUUCCUUGAACGUUUCUAAGAUUUAUUUCUUUCCACGUUUACGUUAUCGAUUUUUAUUAGACUUGACCAUCACAUCGAUUCGCGCCCCUAAC